GUAUCUCUUUAAAUUAAACGUAAUGCUGUGUCCUCGCUCGCCGAGUCUUCAGCACUUGAGUGAGGUUUUUUUUGGACCAGAGAGUAUUGAGAGAUUUUUCACAAAUCUCAUGCUGGGGGCACCAAGGAGCGGGGUUGAUCAGCCACCAUCAGGACACAUAGAAAAAAGUCAGCUGUUUGAACAACCAGGCCCUUCCGGUUGCUGAGCGCAUAGACAGCUGCAUGCAGUGAAAUUCCUGGCCGUCCUUUCAUUCCUGUGACAAAUCCAGGCACAAUUAAACUAUGAAGUCAUGAAAGUUUGUUGAAGACAGGGCUUGAAAAGGAAAUGCAUUAUUAAUAAUUCAUUUAUCGUUUUAUUGUUCUUAUAUUAAUUCUCUAAAACUUUGCGUUUACCCAAUUUUAUUUGUAUGAAUGCGAGGUUAUAUAUGAAGUGACAGUGCCACACCAAGGAGAAAUGAAGGAAAUAGCUGCGCACUCCAGGAGGUCGAUUUCGAAACAAAAUCGGAGCCGUGUUCACAACCUAACCCAUGAAAAUAGUAAACGCCAUACAAAAUUUAUACUGAUCAUUUGGAUUCAAUGUUAUAAUUUGUUGAUCUGAAUCAUAUUAUGAUGUCCACAUUUGGAAGUCUGGAGCCUCUGCAGUUCGCAUAACUUUGCAUAGUUUGCCAAUAGAUCUGUGGAUUGGCGCAUUCAACCUGGGCCUGCACUUCAUCCUCCAGUACCUAGAACACCAUUGUGCCAGAGUUACUGCACUCCAAACUUUCCGAGUUGAUUGUGCCUGAACCCCUCUGUCGGUGGAUCACCAGCUUCCUGACAGACAGGAAGCAGCACCUCGGACCCGCAAACCCUCAGCAUAGGUGCACCACAAGGCUGCAUACUCUCCCCUCUCCUCUACUCUCUCUACACCAAUGACUGCACCUCCACUGACUCCUCUGUCAAGCUUCUCAAGUUUGCGGACAACACAACCCUGAUUGGACUGAUCUAGGAUGGGGAAGAAUCUGCCUACAGACAAGAAAUGACACAGCUGGUGGCCUGGUGCCAUCGCAACAACCUGGAGCUCAAUGCUCUUAAGACAGAAUUGAUAGUAGACUUUAGGAAAGCUCCCCCUCCCCUCACCCCACUCGCCAUCAACAACACCACAGUCACAUCUGUGGAGUCUUUUAAGUUCCUGGGAACCAUCAUCUCCAAGGACCUUAAAUGGGGGGCUACCAUCGACUCCACAGUCAAAAAGGCACAACAGAGGAUGUACUUCCUGCGGCAGCUGAGGAAGCACAAUCUGCACACGCAAUGAUGGUCAAAUUCUAUAGGGCCAUCGUAGAGCCUCACCUUCUCCAUCAUGGUCUGGUUUGGCUCAGCCACCAAGCACGACAUCCGGAGGCUGCAGCGAAUCAUCCGAUCAGCUGAAAAGGUUAUUGGCUGCAACCUUCCCUCCAUUGAUGAACUGUACACUGCAAGGGCCAGUACUCAAUAACCAAAAAUCUGUAGCCUCCUUUCGCUCUGGUAUUUUAUUUAAUUCACAUGUUUAAUCAAUAAUGUUUUAUUAUUAAUAUUUAAUGUUUUAUGUCUCAUUCCUAAAUGUCACUGUAUGUCGUUGUCACGUGGGUGGAGCACCAAGGCAAAUUCCUUGUAUGUGAAUACUUGGCCAAUAAAUGUAUUAAUUAAUUCAUUCAUUCAUUUAUCACAAAACAUAAAUAACAUGGUGCAAAAAAGAGAAAGAACUUUCUCAUUUUGCUAUCAGGAACAUAUCCUUACAAGUUAUAGAAUUAAAUUAUGUAUGAUUCUUAUAUCGUUUAAGUUCAUUUGAGUUAGCAAAAAAAUGUAAUUAUUUUGUCAAGAAGGAACAUGCAUAAAUUUAAUGAGAGUAAUAUCAAAAUAAAUAUUUUAACACAUUUAGAAAAUAUAACAAUUAAGAAAAAAUUGGUACAAGUGCAACUCCCUUUUGCCAGGUAGGUUUCAUUGCUCCCAGGCCAAAGCCAUUGUUGGACAUGGCCCACUAUGUCCCGGUGUUGGAAGGCAAAUUUUGCGUCCAGUACCACUGCUGCUGGAGUCCAUUUCUUCCCUGUUGCUAGGGUUGGAGCGACACCUCUUAUUAUUGGGUCCCGGGAUUCUGUUAGUGUCAUGUCCAGCCUCACUUUGGCACAUUUGUACUCCUCCACCAGGCUUGAGACUGGCAGUGAGAGGGCUCCAUUCCCAUAGAGCCCUAUGCUGCUGAGGCAUCUCAGUAUCCCAAACCACUUCCUCACUUGUGAGUUCACCAGUUUCUCCAGCUGGUUGACAUGGGUUAAAGUGACCUCGUAGAUGGUAAUUGGCCACAUGAGUCGGGGCAGUCGACCGAAUUGAAGGCACCAAAGCUUCAGCUUCCCUGGGAGAGCAGUGUUGUUGAUUUGCUUGAGGCCACUGAUUGUAUCCUGCCUGAGUUGUUCCACCUUCUCUGCAUCCUUGAGGUAUGCGGUGUACCAUUGCCCAAGGCUUUUGACAGGCUUCUCCAGGACAGUUGGUAUUGUCUCGUUAUUGAUGCGGAACCUUUCGUCAGUGAGCCAGCCUUUGACGAUGGAAAUACUGCAGGAUUUGCUGGGUUUAAUCUCCAUUCGUGCCCAUUUGAUGUUUUCCUGGAGUUUAUCCAGCAGGCGUUUGGUGCAUGCUUUUGUUGUUGUUAUUGUGGUCAUGUCAUCCAUCUACGCCCAGAUUGGAGGAAGACGCAGCCCACUCUUCAAGCGUUCCCCUCUGAACACCCAUCGUGAUGCUCGAAUGAUGAGCUCCAUUGCCAUGGUGGAAACCAGAGGAGAAAUGGUACAGCCUGCCAUUAUGCCUACCUCAAGGUGCUGCCAGGCAGUGGUGUUGGCCUGUGUUGUGACGCAGAACUGGAGGUCCUGGAAGUAAGCUUUUACCAGCUUUGUGAUGACCUCUGGGACCUGGAAGAAAUUAAAAGCUGCCCAAAGAGUCUCAUGGGGCACCGAACCAAAGGCAUUGGCAAGAUCUAAGAAAACCACAUGCAGAUCUCUCUUUUCCUUCUUGGCAGUUUGUAUCAGGUGCCAGAUGACGUUUGCAUGUUUCAGACAUCCUGAGAAACCACGUACCCCUGCUUUUUUCACUGACGUGUCAAUGAAGUUGUUGCUCUGCAAAAAUGCUGAGCCACAACACCAAAGAAGAUCUUUCCUUCCACGUUCAGAAGGCUGAUCUGGCGGAAUUGGCUAAUGGUUGAGGAGUUCUUUUCUUUGGGAAUUAAGAUCCCUCCUGCCAUUCGCCAUGCCUUAGGUAUGAUUCCUUUCCCCCAUGCCACUUUCAUUAACUUCCAAAGGUAUUUCAGGGCACUAGGGGUGUUCUUAUAGAGCCUGGAUGGAAUGCCAUUGGGCCCUGGGGCUGAUGCUGUUCUUUCCUGUUUGACUGUGUUCUCCACCUCCUUCCAUGUAGGAUGCCUUAUGUCCAUCUGGUACUCAGGUGGGUCGAUAGGUGGCAUGUCAUCUGGAAUGGUGACUGGCUCAUGCCUCCGGUUGUCAGGGUACGUUUUCCUCAGGUGCUCCUCCAGUUCCCUUACAGGUACUCUCAGGAUCCCACUCUUCUCCUUGACAAAGAGGCUUUUGACAAACUUAUACGGAUCUCUGUAGAAACUUGGCCUUGCCCAUUCUUUCUUCUUGUGUUGCUUUCUCAGGCAUUCUGCUCUUUAUUUCUCUCAGUUUUAUUUCUUCCUGCAGUGCCUCGAGUCCUUUCCUUUCUGCCUCUGUGGUCUUCCUCCACUGUUUUCUCAGCUUUCUUUCACCAGUCUUUUGAUCUCCUGCUGCCUCCUGGACUUGUACUGGAGUGCUGGUUCCUUCUGUGUCCUCUGUUUCAUGACCUUCACCCCAAAUCUCUCCGCCCCAUUGUUGUAUAUGGUGUCUCCCAUCUUUUCCAGUUUUCUUUCCACACAUCCCUUCAAUCUUUCCAGAAGAUGGAUGAGGUCAGUGUUAAUGGUCUCCCACUCUUUCCUCUGGCAGGAUUUAGGCCACAAGAUUUCAGGCUUUUUCCCUUCAAUUUUCUUCUCUACCACUGACUGUGGCUGGUUGGGCUCUGGACUCGUGUCCGUUGGUGGUACUGUACCUGGUUGAGCUUCGCCUGGGGUGCUGAUACCAUGUGGACUGUAGUGGUUAUCCUGCCACUGGGCUUCACACGACUGAUUUGACCUACCUCUUAGAGGGUAAUGGUCAAUGCGAGGCCCCACACCAAGCUCUGUCAAGGCACGUUUUCCUGCCCUGGUGGAUCUUGAGACCCUUCUCUGAUGUUAUAUUUUCCCAGCCACAGAUAUAGCUUCGUAGCUUAUGUCCUGCCAGUGCUGCUGCUCUGUCAAUUGCUGUGCUAGUUGUAAUACUCAUAGUCGAUUCCGUUCCUAGGUCUGUUGCCGUGUGGUCUGUCAAUGAGUCAUCUUGCGCCCCCGCAGACUCGAGGGGUAUUCUUCGUCUUGUCUUUUUCAUAGCAAUAUAUGGCUGAAUCCAAAACGCUCAUUAGCGAUGGAUCCUGCUGGCAUGAAGAACUAGCCCAUGCCAGCCCCGGUGGGGUCUAUUCCCUCCGGUCAGCAGUCUCUCCAGGCCAUCACUAGGUCUUUCCCUGGUUGUCAGCUGCCCUUUCGCAGCGGUCACUGGUUUGAUCCAGAUGUUCAGAUUGAUUAGUAGGACUAGGUGUUACAAUCCCUAAGAUUUCAUUACAAUUGUCAUUCUUGGGUAUGACCACUAGGUGAAUUUGCUAACAAUCAGACACAUCUUCAGUUGUGUACCUCAACGUCACUGGGUGUUUCUUUGCUGGAUUAUUAACCAUUCCGAAAUUAGACUUAAUUAACAAUUAAUAACAGCGCAAAGUAAAGCGGUCUCGCCUGGAAAUUUACAAUGGUAAACAUCCUGCAGAAACAAUCCACGUUUUUUGUUUGAUUACAUUAACUGAAUUAUUAUUAUUUUUUAAUUUCUAUUAAUAUACAAUCGAUCCCUUGGUCCUAUCACACCAAUGACGAACCAUAUAGGUAAUAAUGAUUGUAAGUGUCAUUAAGCAAAGUGGAGUGAAAGUACAGGGAAUAUAGAAAGCAGAUUCUGCCUGGAAUUAUAACACAAUGGAGAUCAGAAGCGAUUUAGGGAUUGGAGAGUAGACUAUGGUUAGGACAAGGUGGGAAGAAGUACAGUACAAUGUACAGUGAAAUAUAAAUUUAUGAGGGAAUGUUUGGGAUUGAAUUCAUCAAGCAUACCAUUUCUGAUUUUAUUCCGGCUCUUUGACUCCUAAAGCCUCCAACCUUAUCGUUCCCCAUCCCCGCACGGCCCGGUCUUAUCUUCUCCCCAAAAUCCACAAAUAAAACUGUCCUGGCAGACCCAUUGUUUCUGCUUGUUCAUAUCCUAUCAAAUUAAUCUCCACAUUCCUCAACUACAUCCUAUCUCCCCUGAUCCAAUCCCUCCCUACCUUUAUCCAAGACACCUCACACGCUCUUCGUCGCUUCAAUGACUUCCGUUUUCCAGGCCUCCACUUCCUCACCUUUACCAUGGAUGCCCAGUCCCUCUACACGUCCAUCCCCCUCCCUCCCCCCACCAACAGGAAAGUCUUAAAGCCCUCUGUUUCUUCCUCAACCGCAGAACCAGCCAAUUUCCAUCCACUAAUAUUCCUCCGCCUAACAGAGCUGGUCCUUACCCUCAACGACUUCUGCUUUGACUCCUCCCAAUUCUUCCAAAUCCAAGGGGUAGCUACGGGCACUCGCAUGGGCCCCAGCUAUGCCUGCCUCUUUGUAGGGUACGUCGAACAAUCACUGUUCUAGGCGUACACUGGCCUUAUCCCUGAACACUACCUCCGCUACAUUGACAUCCCAUGCAAAACUCAUUGACUUCAUCAACUUUUUUUUAAUGUUUAUUUUAUUAGAAGCAAUUGUACAAGAAUAAAGUAAUCGGCAUAACAAUGAUACAACUUUCGUACAGCUUCAUUUUUAACAUUUUAUAAAUUGAUACAUGAAUCGGGAAAGGUAGU